UAAAUGUUUCAUGAUAAGAAUUUCAUGUCUUUUGUAUUAAAGAAUUAAAUGGAUGAAAUAUGAAGUUUUAUUAAAAGAAAAAGGGGUGAAAAGAACAAAGUUUUGUCCAUCUUUGUUCAUCAUAGCUGAAAGUUAGAGAAGAGAAAGGAGAGGAGAAAGCUCUUGAGUAUUCGGUCAUUAGGAGGAGGAAAAUUUAAGGCGGUUCGUGUGUGGAUCUCGUCAGCACAUCGUCGCAAACAGGUAAUCCCCAACCAUAGUGGGCUUGGAGCUGUGAGGGAAUUCGGAGUGGCCACCCGUUCUGAAAGUUUGAUUUUCUUCUGGUGAACUGGACAUCCUUUUAAUUACGUUUGAGGUUUUGGGCUUUUAAAUGUAAUAAGACCGCUUAUUUAUUUUUGAUGGUUUUUAUAUGUUUUAUUAAGAUAGGUAAUAUUUAUAUUUAA